CUAGCGACUUCAGAGUUUGAUCCUGGCUCAGAACGAACGCUGGCGGCAGGCUUAACACAUGCAAGUCGAGCGCCCCGCAAGGGGAGCGGCAGACGGGUGAGUAACGCGUGGGAAUCUACCGUGCCCUAUGGAAUAGCUCCGGGAAACUGGAAUUAAUACCAUAUACGCCCUUUGGGGGAAAGAUUUAUCGGGGUAUGAUGAGCCCGCGUUGGAUUAGCUAGUUGGUGGGGUAAAGGCCUACCAAGGCGACGAUCCAUAGCUGGUCUGAGAGGAUGAUCAGCCACAUUGGGACUGAGACACGGCCCAA
rnacentral:rRNA from 1 species